rnacentral:rRNA from 1 species
AUUGAACGCUGGCGGCAUGCCUUACACAUGCAAGUCGAACGGUAACAGGUCUUCGGAUGCUGACGAGUGGCGAACGGGUGAGUAAUACAUCGGAACGUGCCUAGUAGUGGGGGAUAACUACUCGAAAGAGUGGCUAAUACCGCAUGAGAUCUACGGAUGAAAGCAGGGGAUCGCAAGACCUUGUGCUACUAGAGCGGCCGAUGGCAGAUUAGGUAGGUGGUGGGAUAAAAGCUUGCCAAGCCGACGAUCUGUAGCUGGUCUGAGAGGACGAUCAGCCUCACUGGGACUGUGACACGGCCCAGACUCCUACGGGAGGCAGCAGUGGGGAAUUUUGGAUAAUGUGCGAAAGCCUGACCCAGCAAUGCCGCGUGCAGGAUGAAGGCCUUCGGGUUGUAAACUGCUUUUGUACGGAACGAAAAGCCCCGGGUUAAUACCCUGGGGUCAUGACGGUACCGUAAGAAUAAGCACCGGCUAACUACGUGCCAGCCGCCGCGGUAA